AGAGUUUGAUCCUGGCUCAGGAUGAACGUUAGCGGCAGGCUUAACACAUGCAAGUCGAGGGGCAGCGGGGAGGAAGCUUGCUUUCUCCGCCGGCGACCGGCGCACGGGUGAGUAACACGUAUGCAACCUGCCCCUGUCAGGGGGACAACCCGCCGAAAGGCGGGCUAAACCCGCGUACAUGCCACCGGGGCAUCCCGGAGGCAGGAAAGGCUUCGGCCGGACAGGGAUGGGCAUGCGGCGCAUUAGGCAGUAGGCGGGGUAACGGCCCACCUAACCGACGAUGCGUAGGGGUUCUGAGAGGAAGGUCCCCCACACUGGUACUGAGACACGGACCAGACUCCUACGGGAGGCAGCAGUGAGGAAUAUUGGUCAAUGGUCGGGAGACUGAACCAGCCAAGCCGCGUGUGGGAUGAAGGUACAGAGUAUCGUAAACCUCUUUUGUCAGGGAACAAAGGCGGGGACGCGUCCCCGGAUGAGUGUACCUGAAGAAAAAGCAUCGGCUAACUCCGUGCCAGCAGCCGCGGUAAUACGGAGGAUGCGAGCGUUAUCCGGAUUUAUUGGGUUUAAAGGGUGCGCAGGCGGUCUGUUAAGUCAGCGGUCAAAGCCCGGGGCUCAACCCCGGCCCGCCGUUGAAACUGGCAGUCUCGAGUUGGAGAGAAGUAUGCGGAAUGCGCGGUGUAGCGGUGAAAUGCAUAGAUAUCGCGCAGAACUCCGAUUGCGAAGGCAGCAUGCCGGCUCCACACUGACGCUGAGGCACGAAAGCGUGGGUAUCGAACAGGAUUAGAUACCCUGGUAGUCCACGCAGUAAACGAUGAAUGCUGGCUGUCCGGGGGGACUGACCCCUGGGUGGCGAAGCGAAAGCGAUAAGCAUUCCACCUGGGGAGUACGCCGGCAACGGUGAAACUCAAAGGAAUUGACGGGGGCCCGCACAAGCGGAGGAACAUGUGGUUUAAUUCGAUGAUACGCGAGGAACCUUACCCGGGCUCAAACGGGGAGUGACUCAGGCAGAGACGCCUGUUUCCCACGGGACACUCCCCGAGGUGCUGCAUGGUUGUCGUCAGCUCGUGCCGUGAGGUGUCGGCUUAAGUGCCAUAACGAGCGCAACCCCCGCGUGCAGUUGCUAACAGAUAACGCUGAGGACUCUGCACGGACUGCCGGCGCAAGCCGCGAGGAAGGCGGGGAUGACGUCAAAUCAGCACGGCCCUUACGUCCGGGGCGACACACGUGUUACAAUGGGUGGUACAGCGGGAAGCCAGGCGGCGACGCCGAGCGGAACCCGAAAUCCACUCUCAGUUCGGAUCGGAGUCUGCAACCCGACUCCGUGAAGCUGGAUUCGCUAGUAAUCGCGCAUCAGCCAUGGCGCGGUGAAUACGUUCCCGGGCCUUGCACACACCGCCCGUCAAG
rnacentral:rRNA from 1 species